CGCCCGUCACACCAUGGGAGCUGGUAAUACCCAAAGUCGGUUAGCUAACCUCGGAGGCGACCGCCUAAGGUAGGACUGGUGACUGGGGUGAAGUCGUAACAAGGUAUCCCUACGAGAACGUGGGGAUGGAUCACCUCCUUUCAUACGGAGUACAUAAAUGUUAUGGAAAAAUUAUUUGUAUCCAGUUUUGAGAGACCUAUCUCUCAAUUUGUUCUUUGAAAACUGAAUAUCGACAUUGAAAAAUUAAAUUUAUUAAUAUUUCAAAGUUUAGAUCAACCUAUAGAAUAUAUCAUACAAUAGACAAACAAUAGGUCUUAUACUACUAUUAAACAAGAUAAGAGUUUUUGGUGGAUGCCUUGGGUCUGGAAGUCGAUGAAGGACGUGAUUACCUGCGAUAAGCCUCGGUUAGCUGGAAAUGAGCUGUGAUCCGGGGAUUUCCGAAUGGGGAAACCUAAUUGAGCUAAUCCUCAAUUAUCAUAUCGAUGAAUACAUAGUCGAAUGAAGAGACACGCUGUGAAUUGAAACAUCUCAGUAGCAGCAGGAAGAGAAAAUAAAGAAUGAUUCCCUCAGUAGUGGCGAGCGAACGGGGAAGAGCCCAAACCAACAUUCGUUGUUGGGGUUAUAGGACUACAUUUUAGAGUUACAAAAUUUACAUAUAGCAGAAUAAGUUGGAAUGCUUAAACAUAGAGGGUGAAAUUCCCGUAAGCGAAAUGUGUAGAUCUCUUUGUAGUAUCCUGAGUAGGGCGGGGCACGUGAAACCCUGUCUGAAUUUGCCGGGACCACCCGGUAAGGCUAAAUACUAACCAGACACCGAUAGUGAACUA
rnacentral:sRNA from 2 species